CCAAAUUCCAGUCGUUCCACGAUCCCCCGUAUCUUUGGGAGGGACCCGUGAGCACCAACGCUAAUCCAGAGCAGCAGGGAAGAGCUUCUCUCUUAAUUAACUAACGCUGCUUUUUUACGGCUGCUCUGAUGCUGGAGAUGUAAAUCAGAGGGAACAAGAGGAAGAUGAGAGCAUAUUGUUCAUCACAUGUUUUGUCCUCCUACUCCCUCUGCGCUCUCUGAAAUAAUCGUCUCUAGAGAGCUGGGAAUGGAGAAGGCUGGAAUUAUCACAGCAAAGAGACCCUCAGUGCCAGCCAUCAGAGGCUUCUCAGGGUCCCUGGGGCACACAGCAGCACGCUGGGGACAGGGAUGGAGUCACUGGUGCUGAACCCGUGUUCACAGCACACAGGGGUGGUCCCACAGCAAGGAGAGCUGCUCCAGUCUGUGAGAGCUGCAGCCAGUGCAUUAAUUGAUGGUUAAUUACCUGCAGCCCUGGCCUGUCCCUGUGCUGUGCCUGCUCUGCUGGUGGCACUGCUGGCUGGGGAGCCCCCCCUCCCCAGGGAAUCAUCUGGAACACGAUUGUGGCCUUGGGCUCUGCCUGCUCAGUGUUUGCAAUUAGAUUUUACUACAAAAGUACAUAUUAACAUUAAAGGAGCAUUACAAUGCAGCAAAUGUGAUAAACCAGAGCAACUACAUGUACCUUCUGCUUCUGUUCUUUCAAGAAUCAUAAUCACCGUUAAUUUAUGGUCUUCUGAGGAGGAUCUAAUUACUCCAAUCAGCCCUUCUUUCACUCAGAGAGUGUUCCCUGCCUUGACAUACCUGCCUGGCAGAGACACCACACAGAGCUGUGUUUUCAGGGCUGCUGCAGCCUCCCAUCCCCUGCCUGAACCCGGGCAGGAGGGAAAUCCUCCAGGCAGGACCAAGCAGAGGGAGGAAUCCCUUUUCCAGGAAAGCCCUGCCUUGGGAAUACAGCACUCUGGCUAAUCUGUUCAUCACCAAAAUGCCUUUGUGUUUUCAGUCACCACCUUGAAGAGCAGAGGCUCCUUCCCAGGCUGUCCCUGUCCUGCCAGACCCCCAGUUCUCUGCUGUGCUGCACCCGAGUGUGGCACUCACACAAAUGUGCCACCACUUCCUUGCUGGUUUUCUUCCUGUUUCCCAGCCUUGGUGGCAGAGCUCGUGGUGACCCCCUGAGGGAUGCAGAGAGCACCAGGGACCAGCCCAGCCAGGAAUAUCCCACAUUUCCCAGGAUCUCCUCUCCUCCGGGGGCUCCGAGCCAUCACCCAGCUCCAGCCAGGGCUGCUGGGUCUGGGGGGUCUGCUCAGGGAACAAAGCCCCCCGAGCACCAGGGGCAGGAAAACAGCUCCAGAGCCUGGGAUUCCUGCAGCACUUCAACCACACAGCUGCAAAUCCUGAGCUCCUGCUUUGGGUUAAAGCAGGGCAGCACUGAGACCUGGAAAACCCUUAAAUCUGGCUGGGUUUCACUGGUCACUGCCCCCUUCCCACUGGGGAGGCCAAAUGAAUGCAGGAGGAAAUAAAGGAAAUCUUGCUGAGAACUUUACCCAGAAG